AUGGAUCUCGAAGCUAAUAGUAGACACAGCAUCCUGGAGCAGAUGCUGAUUGAUGAAAGCGCAGAGCCGACGGACCUGCCAUUGUCACUGCUAGAAGACAUCACAGAUCGUUUCUCUCCCAAUCACGAAAUUGGCAGAGGUGGAUUCGCGGUGGUUUACAAGGGAAUGGUCGGACAAGGGACUGUUGCUGUCAAGAGGCUCACCGAAACUCUCGAGAUUGUCCACGAGAAUAAAUUCCAUAAAGAGGUUGAAUGCUUGAUGAAGGCCAAGCAUGAGAAUAUAGUACGUUUUCUGGGAUAUUGUGCCGAGGCACGUGGAAAAGCUGCAAGCUACGAGGGAAACUUUGUCAUAGCAGAUACACGGAAUAGGUUGCUCUGUUUUGAGUAUUUACCCAAUGGGAGUCUCGAAAAGUACAUCACCAAUGCGUCUAUUGGACUUGAAUGGAAAGAGCGCUUUCGAAUAAUAAAAGGAAUAUGCAAAGGUUUACACUAUCUCCAUAUGAACCGUAUUCUUCAUUUGGACCUCAAGCCAGCGAACAUAUUGCUAGACGGUCACAUGAUUCCUAAAAUUGCUGAUUUUGGUCUCUCAAGGUGUCUUGGGGAAGAGAAAACCCAUGGUACUACUAAGCACCUAUCUGGAACACCGGGUUAUUUGGCUCCAGAGUUCUACAAUGGAAAGUUCACAUUCGCAUCAGACAUAUAUAGCCUUGGUGUCGUAAUCAUGGAGAUACUAACAGGAGCAAAGGGAUAUUCUGAAGACGAGAACGUGGCUGCAAGUUGGAUGAAUAGAUUGGAUGGGAACAUGCAGUUGGAAAAAUUAAAAGUAUGCACUAAGAUAGGGAUAGAGUGCAUGGAAUCAGACCCAAAGAGAAGACCAUUUGCAUGGUGUAUUGUAAAUAUGAUUGAUAAAACGGCAAGUGCUGAUGAAACUAACAUGACUAGUUCACUAGAUGAGCGGCAGGUAUGUUUAUUAAAUGAACAGUCUGAUCAAGAAAGAAUCGGAAAGCUCGCUGAUACCAUCAGCCAUGAGGAUAUCAAGGAGCGCCCUGAAAUUGAAGUUGCUGCAGGAUCUCUUGGAAGUGAUCAUUCCCAGGAAGGCCAAGAAAACACAGAUCAUUGGUCAUCAUGCGAUCUAAGUACAGAGCGAAAGGAUAACAUCCAAGGAACAAGCAUUUCCAACUCUAACUCCAUUGUUCUGGACAAGUUGAGCAUCUUAAAAAUCUUCAACUGGGGUGGACACAGAAAUUUCGUGAGGAAUGGAGGUCGACAACUAAAGAAUUCUAGGGGCCUUAGGAUUUUCACAAAGGGGGAAAUAAAGAAAAUCACAAUGAAUAAUUCAGUGGUGCAUGGUGAAGGAACAUUUAGUAGGACCUACAAAGGAAUUCUUCCUGACAUUACCAUGGUGGCAGUUAGCACCAUUAUGGCCGGACAUUAUUUUUUAGCGGAUGACUUCAUCAAGAGUGUGGAGAUCCAGACACAGUUGAUCCACAAGAACAUUCUCAAGCUCCUCGGUUACUGCCUGGAAAAAGAUGCUCCAAUAUUGGUACAUGAGUUUGCUGCUAAGGGGAGCCUCAAGGAUAUUCUAUGUGACUAUGAAAAUCAAAUCCUCCCGCUAGACUUGCGUUUGGACAUUGCAAUUGGGUCUGCAGAAGGGUUAAGAUACAUACACUCUACAGGCAUACGGCAUGGUAAUGUUAAACCGGAUACCAUACUUCUCGAUGAAAUGUUUACACCAAAAAUCUCGGACUUUGUGUUAUCGGAGUUAGUUAAUACGGAUGGAUAUAUCUUCACCACGGCAGGGGGAACCAUCCUUUAUAUGGACCCAAUGAUCAUGAAAGAUGGUAUUGUAAAACUAACGCAAAAGGACGAUGUCUACAGCUUCGGAGUAGUUCUCUUGGAACUCAUUACCAGGAUGGAAAUCGACACCCGCAAAUUUUGCGAGAUAGAAAGUGGUAGGAGAGCAAUGUUUGACAAUGACAUUGCAGUUGAAGAAGACAUCCCCGUCCUUGAAGAAAUCGGGAAGCUGGCGUUUGAGUGCCUCAAAGGAGAAGUACAACGGCCAGAUAUGACAGAGGUGACAAAACGAGUUAUGAUGCUUAGAAGAGAUAGAAUACUUAGAAAGGCACGCAAGACAAAUUAG
rnacentral:rRNA from 1 species